AUAUCAGAUCACCUUGGACUUGAGAGUGGGGGGCAACUAUUGAGAUAAUCGGAUCUGCUCUCUCUGAUUCGAGAUCGGCUACUUGCUCCACACCCAUACAAAAAGAGCCAAGAGAUCCCAAAAGGAGAAGCUCUAAAGUGAAGAAACUUUCACGAUUCAGCUUUCAUAGCAUCUUCAUGACCGACUGAAGCAGCAUCUUUAUGGCCGAC
rnacentral:lncRNA from 1 species